rnacentral:lncRNA from 1 species
UGAAAGAUUAAACAGAAGAUUGGUCUCCGCAUCCCUCCUGACCUGAACCUUUAAGGCACCGGGAUUCCCCACUGCCUGCCCCGACCUCGAGGCGGUCUCUCACCUGAGCCGCAGCUCUUGCAGACACAUCUCCACUGUUUUUGUGUAACACUGCUGACAUUUUAAAUGGUAACAAGCGCUGACCUAACAGUCCCUACUCUCUUUCUGUUUUUUAUCAUCAGUCCUUCUGUACCCUGGAUUUUAAAAAUUCGGCAUGAGCUGGACGCCAACAGCGAGGGCCCACCUACUCCACGCCCCGGGUGGAUCUUCUCUCCAGCCGGCUAGCCCGCGUCUGCGGAAGGGCCAGUUGUCCUGGCAACCAGCUGCUCUCCCAGCAACCUAUGGCUCCAUGAUGACGUCGUCACAUCGCGCCCAUUCUGGGCACUGCCUCCGUGCUUCAGCCGCUUUCCAUUGGUCGGCGGGAGGGCGUGUGGCAGAUCUCGCCCAAUGGAAGGCGCCGCGUGUCCGAAGGCGGGACUGGCGCGUACCUCCGGCAAGGGGCUUGCCGGAAGCCAGUCUGGGCUGUGCAGGUAGACUCUGCCCCGGAGUGCAGCACAACCAUAUUCCUGAGUGCGUACAGCCCAAAUCCCAGCACUGAGUGUAAAUUCACAGAAGAGCCUGCUGAAGGUCCCUCCGAGAAGCAAUGUCUCAGAUGUUGGGAGCAAUGCUACAUAAUUCUAGGGAAAAAUCAUUUGGUUAGCCUAAUUCUCUUGCCUACAGCCCAGCUACAGAAUAACUCCAGUUUGGCCUCCNNNNNNNNNNNNNNNNNNNNNNNNNNNNNNNNNNNNNNNNNNNNNNNNNNNNNNNNNNNNNNNNNNNNNNNNNNNNNNNNNNNNNNNNNNNNNNNNNNNNGGAAAAUGACAACCAAGAGAGAUUAUGUAAAGGUGCACAUUUCCAAUGAUGAAUGUUAUUAUACUGUAUACCUAAAAUGUACCGAUAAAAUAAAAUUUUUAAAUAAUGAGCUAGAAAUACAAAUUAUCAGUUCAGGGAAAAUAAAUAUAAAUUAAUUUCAACCAUGUGAAAAAAAAAUGAUCACAAUGGGAAAAUGAGGUUCUGAGUAGGUUAGGAAGUAGAUGCUGAACUUUGUCAUUAUUGAAGUGGACCACUUUCUCCAAGCUGUUCAGGUCAGAAGUGUGAUCUGUCAUGAUCAUGAUGACAUUGGGCCAGUGCAUGACAGGCCUAUCGCUGUGCAGAGACACUGGCUGGGUACUGGUCCACACCCUUAGGGGCCUCUCUGUAGGAGUGGGAGUGAUGAUAACCAUGACCCUGAAAACUCUCUGAGCCUCGGUUGUCAAAUGUUAAGGACACAUUGGCAGCACUGUAUUUCCUGAUGAAGCUUGAAAUCUUUCCAAAAAGGUCUGGGUUAGCUUUAGCAGUCAAUGCUUUCAUUUCUGAAACAGUUUGUAGGCUUAGUGCCUCAUGACGUAAAAGCUACAUUUGGCCAGGUGGCGAAGCCCAACCGACCUCCAAGGCUGCUUGACAAAAUUCCAGCUUGGGGAAAAGAAGGGUGGAACACAUCAUACCCUCAUGUUUUAUUUUUUUCAUGCCAUAAUGUUUAAAGUUGUUACUCUGGUCACAGGAAUCAUUGUGUUUGUGACUAACAACAAACUCUCCAUAAGGCAAAUUGGCAAUGAUGUAUUGAAAUCUGAUCUGGCUCAAAAGUCCCAAAAUUCCAGUUUCUCUUAGUUCUAUUGCCACAUCCACUUCUAAAGAAACCUCUACUGAAACUCACUCCCUCUGUUUUCCCACUACUAUAACUCCCCCCUUAUUGCUGACCUUCUUAUUACUAAAGGGGUCUUAUGAAGAGGUUGAAAGGACAGACUUUAGAUGUAAGUAAUAGUGGGAAAUAAGAAAUAGAGAGAAAGUUGGGACAAGUAAAUGCAUUAAGGAGGCAAGUUAUUCAAUAUUUCUCACAGUGCUGUAAAUAUCUCCUGCUCAUGAACUAUGAACCCAAAUGACAGUUAGUUAAGAUAAAUAGAGGUGUAGAGAGGUAGAGAGCUAAUAGCAAACUAUAUUAACUGUUGUGCAGUUUCUCAAGGGCUAGCUGGUGACCACAAGUUUGACCUUUAAUUAAUUAAAUCUUGCUCGUACCCCCGCUGCUAUAGAGAUUUUAAUUAAGUUACCCUUUGGAGAUUUUGAUUAAGUUACAUUUUGUUCUACCUAGGUAUGGGAAAAUAAGGGGACAGUUGUGAUUUUUAAGAAAUGUAUUCAUGAUGUUCAAUGAAAUGAAUCAGUUUAGAAAA